AUCCUGGCUCAGGAUGAACGCUGACAGAAUGCUUAACACAUGCAAGUCGAUGGGGAAGCGGCGCUUGCGCCGUGGCAACCAUGGCGGACGGGUGAGUAACGCGUAAAGAACUUGCCGGAUGGACCGGGAUAACAGCUGGAAACGGCUGGCAAGACCGGAUACUGUGGGCUGGCCGCAUGGCUGGCCCAUGAAAAGGGAUGCCGUCCGAGAGCUUUGCGUCCUAUUA
rnacentral:rRNA from 1 species